CAGCUCACCAACAGAUGUAGGAAACCUGAUCUGACAAAUAGAGCUGGCUGGGGCUUCUGUGGAGCAACUCAAGUUGCAUUAUUCGGAAAGAAAGACCAAUACCUUCUUCACAGAAUUUCCCAUCACGCAAAGGUCUGACCUGUAAAAGCUGAAGAGAGGAAUCAGCAGCCCAACAGCCUCAUUGGUGCCCCCUUGCUGUGUCAGGCUGUCUGUAUGGAACACAUUGUACACAGGCUUCAUUAUAUUGGGGGAUAAUAGUCAGUAAAUUUCUCCCAAAACACUGCUGACAUUUUUCCAUCUGUGUGCUCAUGGCUCCAAUCCAACACCUUCACUGCAGAUUGAUGCUUCACCUCAUUUUUUAUGUUAUUGAUUAGCACUGUGCUUGUCAGUGGUGCGUAAAAUUAACAAUGUGUUAUAGGGGCAUGGAUUUCUGUCAGCUCCUGACAAGAUAACCCAUUAUUGGACGACUUCUCCUAAUUUGUUUUUGUUUAUUCAGAAGAAUAGAGUAACAUUCAGCCAGCCCCAAUAAUAAGUCUAUAACUUACAAAUCCUUGUCACUCCAUCGAUAGACCCUAAUCUUUGCUGCUCCUAAUUACAUGAGGAUUCUCAGCCUUAAUUAACAAAUCUUUAUCCAAUUUACCUGCUUAAUGCAGCACUCAACCAAACUGCAUCAGCUCAACCUAUUUUCAUUUGGAGUUUUCAGUUUCCCUCUGGUCCCUUUUUCAAAAAUGCUACAUUUUAGAAAAAAUAAUUUAAACCAAGCCCAAAUAUCCCAAGGUACUUGGGAUGCUUGUUUCAAAGUAAACCCAUCCAAAAAAUAAGGUGAGAACAUGGAUGGAUUACAUUACGUAAAACAUCAAUUUCAGAUAGAGGAUACCAGAUUUGAGAUGCACAUAAGCAAAUGUCUCCAAAAGCCAAAUCUUCCAAGAGUCAAAUGGCAAAGGUUUCAAACAAAAUCCUGAAAGGGUGGGCAGUGGGAAAUCGGGUCUGGUGCUAAAGGGGAGCAGAAUGUAAUUUUUGCUAACACCAAACUGUGCACAAGUAAUUGUUUCAUUCCACUCUCCUCAGCAUCUAAAAACAGUGCUGCUUCGUCUGAUACAUUGUGGCCACUUUCGUAACUAAUAUUCAGAAGUUGCUAGGUUUAAUAAAUACCAGUCUUACUUACCUAUACCUGGAUUGAUCUGCUGAAAUGAAGUAUGGUGUAAGCUGCUGCUCUGAUUUAAAUUCCAUAAUGAGAGGAAUAUUUUAGAACUAUUCAGAUUGAUUUGUUAUGGACUGUAUAAUGAAAAAAACAAGAAUUACAAAGAAAGCAUUUCACGGAAGUUAAAAGCAUGAUUUUAUUUCUAAAUCCACUACAAGUCAAAAGGCAAAACAGGAAAAUCAACAAUUUUUUUGUAUUUUUUAACCCCUGAGCACAACAAUCCAGCAUUCUCAAAAUGCACUAGAUUCAUUCAAAAGGGAAAUAAAAGAAACAUUCUAAGCUUCUCACAGAGCUAAUAAAACAAUUAGUGUCUAAAAUCUACCAGCAUAUCAUAGAUAAAACACAACGUUAUUUGAUUACAUAAGUCGAUCAUUUUUUUUAUUCAUGCAGAGCUGUAGCUUUCUCUUUGCUGUCUGCUCUGCAGCUUCAAAAACUGUUCGGUGGGUAGAAUGUGAAUCUAUGCUGCAGCCUUAAAGUCAUGUCAUCCGAAGUUUUCAGCAAUAGGCAUUACCCAGUAAUAUAUACAGGAGGGAGGUUGUAAGGACAAACAUGAGGAGUAUUUUGUGCCAGUACUGUGUUUACAGGGCUGACCAAACCAGCUAUAUAUAUAUAUAUUAAAACAGAUUUCAAAGAGAAUUUUCAAUGUUCAGAGUCCAGGACUAGUAUAUAGGACUAUAUAGGACUGUGAUACAUGGUCCUUUAGGCCACAUGUAUUUAUAUAUAUACAAAGAAAUAAGGGGACUGGACCCAAGACAUUGCUCCAGAACCUGGUUUGCAGUGUGAUACUUGUCGAGUAUUCUUGAGGUCUUAAGUGGGAAAAGCAGCCUCUGAAUGCAUUUAUAUCUUCUAUCAUCUGUAUGAUAUCCUCAGUGUUCUUCAACACAGAAACCCACCAUUUGAGGCCCCGUGAAUCUCAUUCGGUUGGAAGUUUCUAACUGUCAGAAAUGUUAACAAUUGUUUGCUCAUUGAAGGGACUGUAAGGUUUCCCUAUAGUAUUGUAAGUUGGCUCUAUACAUAUUGAAUACAUUGACUUAAAUUGAAACUCAAGAGUCUCACGAUCCUUGUUAAUGUUGACAAUGUAGCAGAAUUCAGAUAACUUUUUUAUAAAUUAUGAAAAAUCUUGAUGUCAAAUAAAUAAAGUUAGAAUAUUAAAAAGUGAUCUGAUGUCCGUGGAAACCUGAGCUCUGCCAGGACAAUUUGAACAUUUAUGCCAGGUCUUCAUACUCUAGGUGCAUGGAGAAAAAUUCAAGUCCAAUAACAUUGACAUUGAUUCAAGGAUACAGCAACAAAUGUGUACAUGAUUGUUUUUUUGUGGACCUGCAAUAAUGCUCAAAUGCUAAAGAACACAUUUCAAGUACAAAUGAAAACUAUAAAGCACUACCACCUUUAACAACUCAACUGACAAUAGAGGCGUCAGCUCAUCUUAUUGGCUGACAAUUGUCCUCUGCUGCAUGAUUGUGCUUCAACAUACCUAUCUACAGUCACAAAACGUAUUGUUAUUUUUAUCACCCACAAUCAGCCAGCAACAUUACACUGUCAUCACAAAACAGCAAUUCUCUACAGUGAGGAGGAUAGUCACUCUGAAAAAGCACACUAUUCCUAGCUCUUCAUCAAUUGUGGAUCUACAAAUGUUUGUUCUGGAUGGCAAAAGGUCAUCAAAGCAUUUCUUCCCUUGUGGAGGACGAAUGUGCUCAGUAAAUUAAUAUCAAACCGCUUUUUGAAAUGUUUUGUGCAAGUAGACCUUUCGGCCCGAUGUUUCAAAAAUCAAAACUUAAAGGAAACACAUGAUGCUUUUUCUGUUUUUCUUUCCUCUAAUGUGUUAUAAAGGUGCAGCUCCUGAUAUGCCUUGACGGUAGUACGGACGAUACUCAUUAAUUAAUUCACUCUACUCAGUAGUAACAUACUUU